rnacentral:rRNA from 1 species
AGCCUUGAUGUGUAGGAUAGGUGGGAGGCUUAGAAGUGUGGACGCCAGUCUGCAUGGAGCCGACCUUGAAAUACCACCCUUUAAUGUUUGAUGUUCUAACGUUGACCCGUAAUCCGGGUUGCGGACAGUGUCUGGUGGGUAGUUUGACUGGGGCGGUCUCCUCCUAAAGAGUAACGGAGGAGCACGAAGGUUGGCUAAUCCUGGUCGGACAUCAGGAGGUUAGUGCAAUGGCAUAAGCCAGCUUGACUGCGAGCGUGACGGCGCGAGCAGGUGCGAAAGCAGGUCAUAGUGAUCCGGUGGUUCUGAAUGGAAGGGCCAUCGCUCAACGGAUAAAAGGUACUCCGGGGAUAACAGGCUGAUACCGCCCAAGAGUUCAUAUCGACGGCGGUGUUUGGCACCUCGAUGUCGGCUCAUCACAUCCUGGGGCUGAAGUAGGUCCCAAGGGUAUGGCUGUUCGCCAUUUAAAGUGGUACGCGAGCUGGGUUUAGAACGUCGUGAGACAGUUCGGUCCCUAUCUGCCGUGGGCGCUGGAGAACUGAGGGGGGCUGCUCCUAGUACGAGAGGACCGGAGUGGACGCAUCACUGGUGUUCGGGUUGUCAUGCCAAUGGCACUGCCCGGUAGCUAAAUGCGGAAGAGAUAAGUGCUGAAAGCAUCUAAGCACGAAACUUGCC